UCUCGAAUAGCUUAACCGGUAGAGCCUUUAGCGCGUAACCAAAUGGUCCGGGUUCGACUCCCGGUCUGGGUU
rnacentral:tRNA from 1 species